rnacentral:rRNA from 1 species
CCUACGGGAGGCAGCAGUGGGGAAUAUUGGACAAUGGGCGCAAGCCUGAUCCAGCCAUGCCGCGUGUGUGAAGAAGGCCUUCGGGUUGUAAAGCACUUUUAUCCGGAAAGAAAAGCUUUGGGUUAAUACCCUGAAGUCAUGACGGUACCGGAAGAAUAAGCACCGGCUAACUUCGUGCCAGCAGCCGCGGUAAUACGAAGGGUGCAAGCGUUACUCGGAAUUACUGGGCGUAAAGCGUGCGUAGGUGGUUUGUUAAGUCUGAUGUGAAAGCCCUAGGCUCAACCUGGGAAUUGCAUUGGAUACUGGCAGGCUAGAGUGCGGUAGAGGAUAGUGGAAUUCCCGGUGUAGCAGUGAAAUGCGUAGAGAUCGGGAGGAACAUCUGUGGCGAAGGCGACUAUCUGGGCCAGCACUGACACUGAGGCACGAAAGCGUGGGGAGCAAACAGGAUUAGAUACCCUGGUAGUCCACGCCCUAAACGAUGCGAACUGGAUGUUGGGUGCAACUAGGCACUCAGUAUCGAAGCUAAACGCGUUAAGUUCGCCGCCUGGGGGAGGUUAGGUUCGCGAGACGUAGAACGACAANAGAGUUAGACGGCGUUGAGGACGUUGCCGACGGACGACCGACGAGGGGAGGUUAGG